AUUGAACGCUGGCGGCAGGCCUAACACAUGCAAGUCGAGCGGAUGAAGGGAGCUUGCUCCUGGAUUCAGCGGCGGACGGGUGAGUAAUGCCUAGGAAUCUGCCUGGUAGUGGGGGAUAACGUCCGGAAACGGGCGCUAAUACCGCAUACGUCCUGAGGGAGAAAGUGGGGGAUCUUCGGACCUCACGCUAUCAGAUGAGCCUAGGUCGGAUUAGCUAGUUGGUGGGGUAAAGGCCUACCAAGGCGACGAUCCGUAACUGGUCUGAGAGGAUGAUCAGUCACACUGGAACUGAGACGAGGUCCAGACUCCUACGGGAGGCAGCAGUGGGGAAUAUUGGACAAUGGGCGAAAGCCUGAUCCAGCCAUGCCGCGUGUGUGAAGAAGGUCUUCGGAUUGUAAAGCACUUUAAGUUGGGAGGAAGGGCAGUAAGUUAAUACCUUGCUGUUUUGACGUUACCAACAGAAUAAGCACCGGCUAACUUCGUG
rnacentral:rRNA from 1 species